rnacentral:rRNA from 1 species
GACGAACGCUGGCGGCGUGCUUAACACAUGCAAGUCGAACGGAAAGGCCCUGCUUUUGUGGGGUGCUCGAUUGGCGAACGGGUGAGUAACACGUGAGUAACCUGCCCUUGACUUUGGGAUAACUUCAGGAAACUGGGGCUAAUACCGGAUAGGAGCUCCUGCUGCAUGGUGGGGGUUGGAAAGUUUCGGCGGUUGGGGAUGGACUCGCGGCUUAUCAGCUUGUUGGUGGGGUAGUGGCUUACCAAGGCUUUGACGGGUAGCCGGCCUGAGAGGGUUACCGGCCACAAUGGGACUGAGAGACGGCCCAGACUCCUACGGGAGGCAGCAGGGGGGAGUAUGGCACAAUGGGCGGAAGCCUGAGGCAGAAACGCCGCGUGCGGGAUGACGGCCUUCGGGUUGUAAACAGAUUUCGCCUGUGACGAAGCGUGAGUGACGGUAAUGGGUAAAGAAGCACCGGCUAACUACGUG